AUACGGAGGGAGCAAGCGUUGUUCGGAAUUACUGGGCGUAAAGGGCGUGUAGGCGGUUUGGUAAGUCAGAUGUGAAAUUCACCGGCUCAACCGGUCGAACUGCAUCUGAUACUGCCAGACUUGAGACCAGUAGAGGAAAGUGGAAUUCCCAGUGUAGCGGUGGAAUGCGUAGAUAUUGGGAAGAACACCGGUGGCGAAGGCGGCUUUCUGGACUGGUUCUGACGCUGAGGCGCGAAAGCUAGGGGAGCAAACAGGAUUAGAAACCCCGGUAGUCC
rnacentral:rRNA from 1 species